rnacentral:rRNA from 1 species
GUCCACGCCGUAAACGAUGAGUGCUAGUUGUUGGGAAGUUUACUUCUCAGUGACGCAGCUAACGCGAUAAGCACUCCGCCUGGGGAGUACGGCCGCAAGGUUAAAACUCAAAGGAAUUGACGGGGCCCGCACAAGCGGUGGAGCAUGUGGUUUAAUUCGAAGCAACGCGAAGAACCUUACCAGCUCUUGACAUGGGUAUCGCGAGAUCCAGAGAUGGAUCUCUUCAGUUCGGCUGGAUACCACACAGGUGCUGCAUGGCUGUCGU